rnacentral:rRNA from 1 species
AUUGAACGCUGGCGGCAUGCUUUACACAUGCAAGUCGAACGGGCUGGGGGCAACUCCAGUCAGUGGCGAACGGGUGAGUAAUGCAUCGGAACGUGUCCCGUAGUGGGGGAUAACCCGGCGAAAGCCGGACUAAUACCGCAUACUGCUCUACGGAGGAAAGUGGGGGACCGCAAAGGCCUCACGCUAUGGGAGCGGCCGAUGUCCGAUUAGCUUGUUGGUGGGGUAAAGGCUCACCAAGCCAACGAUCUGUAGCUGGUCUGAGAGGACGACCAGCCACACUGGGACUGAGACACGGCCCAGACUCCUACGGGAGGCAGCAGUGGGGAAUUUUGGACAAUGGGCGAAAGCCUGAUCCAGCCAUUCCGCGUGCAGGAUGAAGGCCCUCGGGUUGUAAACUGCUUU